GACGAACGCUGGCGGCGUGCUUAACACAUGCAAGUCGAACGGAAAGGCCCUGCUUGCAGGGUACUCGAGUGGCGAACGGGUGAGUAACACGUGGGUGAUCUGCCCUGGACUUCGGGAUAAGCCUGGGAAACUGGGUCUAAUACCGGAUAGGAGCCAUUUUUAGUGUGAUGGUUGGAAAGUUUUUUCGGUGUAGGAUGAGCUCGCGGCCUAUCAGCUUGUUGGUGGGGUAAUGGCCUACCAAGGCGGCGACGGGUAGCCGGCCUGAGAGGGUGGACGGCCACAUUGGGACUGAGAUACGGCCCAGACUCCUACGGGAGGCAGCAGUGGGGAAUAUUGCACAAUGGGCGCAAGCCUGAUGCAGCGACGCCGCGUGGGGGAUGACGGCCUUCGGGUUGUAAACUCCUUUCGCUAGGGACGAAGCUUUUUGUGACGGUACCUAGAUAAGAAGCACCGGCUAACUACGUG
rnacentral:rRNA from 1 species